GGAAGGUAAUAAUUGAUUGAAGCUAUGAUUUUCAUCCAUCGACUGGAUUAUUGUGUUGUGGAUUAGUCUGUUGAUUCAAUGGAUUAUUAUUUCCUUUUCAAUGACCUCCCUGCCGAAUCCGAAAAGUGUAACACAAAUAGAAUAAACACAUAGUGGGAAGGCGACUCUACAACUGUAUCCUGAGCAAGUGACAACCUGAUAUUUGACUUUCUCAAGCACAGAGACUGUUGAGUGUACUUAUCUAAAAACAAAUUUGUACAGCACAUGCAUCCUUAGACAGAAACAUAACACAAACCCCUAAAAACUUGUAUCCACACAUCGAAAAGGAAUACCAUUCUGUUUACCUGUACCUCAUCAGAAGUGGAUUUUAAGGGAGUACUGAGCAGUUUUCUUGUACUUUGAAAGGAUCAUUUUGAAGAUAGCAAGCUAAGAAAUAAUGUCAGAUCAUCAGAUCAGAUGUAUACAGCUGCAAAUUUUACUCUUUUUUUUUGCUUGAAUCCAGUAUGCUAAUAUUUUAAUGGAUAUGAGAGUACUAUUAAACUCAAGUUGAAUUAAGGGAUUAUAAUCUGAAAAGACAGUAAGUGACAGUUUUCUUCUUUUCCUUUAUUAAAGAUCUAUUCAUUCUUAAACCAUUAUUAUUUUAUUUUUUUAUCUUAAAUUAUUUGACUUUGUUUUUUUCUGUUGGAGGAUUAAUGUAGACAUAAAGUCUUGUAACUUAAAUUGGUAAAAAGUUUUCUGUAUGAGACUUUUACUGAUUGUAUUUAAUAACUUAAUGAAUCUAAUAGAAUUUGGGUUUAGGG
rnacentral:sRNA from 1 species